AAUAGUUACAUGGCCUAGCACUGCACUGAUCCUACACUUCAGACCCUACCUUUAACAGUAACAUCAAAGAGGGAGGACAAAACACAUGGAUUGUUACUUUUGGAGCUUCUUUGGGAUGAAUAAAUACAAUCUGCAAAGUUGACUUAUUUGAGUUUUAUGUUUUCUGCUUGCUUUUCACCUCAUGAACAGCAUCAAGCCAUAUCUUCCUUGGGUUUUCUAGGGGCCUGUGUGAGAUGCAGAGAGUUGUAGUAGCAACUUUCUAUAUCCUUAAAUUAAAGGGGAGAGAAGGGGAAACACUGCUGAAUAUUUACCAGAGAGGUCUUUUCCCCCAGCUGUUUGUUCGGGUGUUGGAGUCAAGUAAGUAACAACAAAAGAAUGCAAACUCCUCAGCUCACGUACAGGAGCGUUACUCUUGAAAUUAACAGAGCUGACUGACUUGUGUCAGCUGAGGAUCUGGCCCAGAGAAAUCUCUUCCCCCUUUGAGUUGCUCAAACUGUACUUGUGAUGUCACCAUCUCACUAGAUCUGCAAUCAUCCACAGAAUCUGCUAGAAUGAAGGAGAGGGCACCUGGAACCUGAUUCUCUGGUGUAAAACAAGCACAGAAAAACCAGCUUGCCUUUUUAAGCCUUCUGUAGAGGUUGACCCUCUUAGAUGAUCUUGAAGAGGACAAUACAACAACCUCCUCUCAACACUUCUCUUCUAGAGUAUUCAUUCUUAUGCCCAAAAGGCCUCUAACAGAGAUUCUCUUUCUUUUCCUGUUUGUUUGUCUGUCUGCAGGUCCAAACACUUACGAAGAUGCGGCAGCAUAUAUCCAAGCACAAUUUGAAAGCAAAAACCGCUCCCCCAACAAGGAGAUUUACUGUCACAUGACUUGCGCGACAGACACGAACAACAUCCAGGUGGUAUUCGACGCUGUCACCGACAUCAUCAUUGCCAACAACCUUCGAGGCUGCGGCUUGUACUGAUACCUUCUCACCCUGUAUAGCAAAGCAACUUCUUUGACCACUUCACGGACUCUCCUGUUGACGUUCUCCUUACCGGUAGCAUGACCUUUUGGCCUUUGUAUAAGACACAGCCUUCCUUAUUGAGUCGAUGUAUAAUGUUCUGAACAUGGAAUGGUGGCUGUGUGUUUCCGUAGAAUGCUGUAGAUCUGGUUUUAGCUGAGUCUUUACAUUUAGAAGCUAAAUGAUUAAAAAAAAGAAGAAAAACAUUUAAAAAAAAAACUUUUUUUUCCAUGUGCUUUGUAGCUAAAAAAGAGGGAAAAAUUCUUCCUUUCACGUUCUCCCUUCCCCCAUUUCUUUUCAAAAACAGAUUUUUGCAACAGUUCUAGGAAGCAUUCUCUUCUCAAUUCCUCAUUUUAAUGGGGAUGAAUUUGCAUUUGUUUUCAUUUAAGUUCCUUUUCAAUUUUUAUUUGUGCCCUGCCUUUAAAAACUAAAAAAUAAAGGUUUUUAUUAGCCUGGAGUAAUAAGACCAUGCUGUAGUACCAUGACAGUGGGUCAGGUAUCUAGAAGGGGCUGUCUUUCUGCUUUUGUUUUUCCUAGUUUAAUAACAACUCUUUGCUCUGAAUUGUCUCUCUCAUUCUCCAGGUUUGUAUUGAAAAAAGCACAGCUGUCACUGGCCAGUCAAUAGUGGCCAAAUUAUCUAGAGAUUUCCCCCAUUUCAACUUUAUUUUCUCUAAAGAAUACUGUGUAUUACAUACCAUAUAGGUUUCCUCUUCUUUAUUUAUUUUGGGGGUUGAUUUGGGGGCUUUGGGGAGGGUAUUUUUGUUUGGGGUAUUUUUUGUUUUGUUUUGUUUUUUUUAAUUUUUAACUCUUUCCAGUGAAUGCUUUUUUGUGCUGCUUUUUCCCUCCUCCGAUCCUUCCUUUUAGUGAAUGUUUUUUCUCUCUCAUGUGGGGAUGUUUGUGCUGCAAAAAUAAUUAAAAAAAAAAAAGAAAGAAAGAAAUGAUUUAAAAAUUUUAAAAAACACACACAAAAACCACAAAAACUAUAAAAAAACAGAAUCGAAUGUAGUGUUUACAUUAAAGCCACAGUUUUCAUGACCAAUCCUUCAUCAUUUCUACUUUGAUUAGUAAUCAGAUGUCUUCACAGUUUCACUUUUAAGAGUUAUCUUUGCUGAAGAAAACCAGUUACACCUGUUUAAAAUAAAAUGAAUAAACAAAGAGGAAACUAAAAUAUAUAUAUAUAUAAAGCGCCAGGUCUUUCUAAGCCUUUCUAUUACCAAUCAGUGAGGUUUCUGUGAUAUAUUAGACACUGCCAAUCUCUUUCUCUGACUAAUGGAAAAUUCAUGUGUAGCUCAAUAAAGAGAAUGUUUGUCUGUA